UCCGGUUUGUCACCGGCAGUCUCCUUAGAGUCCCCAACUUAAUGAUGGCAACUAAGGAUAAGGGUUGCGCUCGUUACGGGACUUAACCCAACAUCUCACGACACGAGCUGACGACAGCCAUGCAGCACCUGUCUCAGAAUUCCCGAAGGCACUCCGGCAUCUCUGCCAGAUUCUCUGGAUGUCAAGACCUGGUAAGGUUCUUCGCGUUGCAUCGAAUUAAACCACAUGCUCCACCGCUUGUGCGGGCCCCCGUCAAUUCAUUUGAGUUUUAGUCUUGCGACCGUACUCCCCAGGCGGUCAACUUAUCGCGUUAGCUUCGUCACUAAACCUUUUAAUAGGCCCAACAACUAGUUGACAUCGUUUACGGCGUGGACUAC
rnacentral:misc_RNA from 1 species